rnacentral:rRNA from 1 species
CCUACGGGUGGCAGCAGUGAGGAAUAUUGGUCAAUGGACGGAAGUCUGAACCAGCCAUGCCGCGUGCAGGAAGACGGCUCUAUGAGUUGUAAACUGCUUUUGUACAAGGGUAAACCUGAAUACGUGUAUUCAGCUGAAAGUACCGUACGAAUAAGGAUCGGCUAACUCCGUGCCAGCAGCCGCGGUAAUACGGAGGAUCCAAGCGUUAUCCGGAUUUAUUGGGUUUAAAGGGUGCGAAGGCGGAUAGAUAAGUUAGGGGGGAAAUGUAAGAGGUUAACUCGGGAACAGCCUCUAAAACUGUUUAUCUUGAGAGAUGAUGAAGUAUGCGGAAUGUAUGGUGUAGCGGUGAAAUGCUUAGAGAUCAUACAGAACACCGAUUGCGAAGGCAGCAUACCGAUGUAUAUCUGACGUUCAUGCACGAAAGCGUGGGGAGCGAACAGGAUUAGAUACCCCUGUAGUC